rnacentral:rRNA from 1 species
UACAUGUGGGGCAAGCGUUGUUCGGAAUUACUGGGCAUAAAGGGUGCGUAGGUGGUUUGUUAAGUCAGGGGUGAAAACCCGCGGCUUAACCGUGGGCUUGCAGCCGAUACGGGCAGGCUAGAGUUCGGUAGGGGAGACUGGAAUUCCUGGUGUAGCGGUGAAAUGCGCAGAUAUCAGGAGGAACACCGGUGGCGAAGGCGGGUCUCUGGGCCGAUACUGACGCUGAGGAGCGAAAGCGUGGGGAGCGAACAGG